AUGAACGCUGGCGGCGUGCCUAAUACAUGCAAGUCGAGCGAACAGACGAGGAGCUUGCUCCUCUGACGUUAGCGGCGGACGGGUGAGUAACACGUGGAUAACCUACCUAUAAGACUGGGAUAACUUCGGGAAACCGGAGCUAAUACCGGAUAAUAUAUUUAACCGCAUGGUUCAAUAGUGAAAUACGGUUUUGCUUUCACUUAUAGAUGGAUCCGCGCCGCAUUAGCUAGUUGGUAAGGUAACGGCUUACCAAGGCAACGAUGCGUAGACGACCUGAGAGGGGGAUCGGCCACACUGGAAGUGAGACACGGUACAGACUACUACGGGAGGCAGCAGUAGGGAAUAUUCCGCAAAGGGCGAAAGCAUGACGGAGCAACGCCGCGUGAGAGAUGAAGGUCUUCGGAUCGUAAAACUCUGUUAUUAGGGAAGAACAAAUGUGUAAGAAAAUAUGCACGUAAUGACGGUACCUAAUCAGAAAGCCACGGCUAACUACGUG
rnacentral:rRNA from 1 species